CCCUUAGAUGUUCUGGGCCGCACACGCGCUACACUGAAGGAGGCAGCGUGUACUCCUGGAUCGAAAGAUUUGGGUAACCCGCGAAUCUCCUUCGUGCUAGGGAUUGAGGUUUGCAAUUAUCCUUCAUGAACGAGGAAUUCCCAGUAAGUGCAAGUCAUAAGCUUGCGCUGACUACGUCCCUGCCCUUUGUACACACCGCCCGUCGCUACUACCGAUUGGAUGGUCCGGUGAAGCCUCGGGAUUGUGGUUCUUGCCGCUUUAUUGUGGCGUGACCGCGAGAACUUGUCUAAACCUUAUCAUCUAGAGGAAGGUGAAGUCGUAACA
rnacentral:rRNA from 1 species